UCCCUGCCUCUUGAGUUUCGCCUCUUCAGUUCCGCUGCUUGUGUGUAUAAUAUGUACUGAAAUUUUUUCCGCAGCUAAAUAUCAGAGUCUCAAACCCAAUUAGAAAGGAUAGGGGUUGAAUGCUAUACUAUUGAUUGUACUAGAAUGCUGCUGCUUUGUUUGCAUCUGAUUGGUAAAAAGAAUAUAAGUUUAUAGAGGAAAAAAAAGGGCGAGGAUAAGAAAAUUGAAUAUGGAGAUGUGGCUUUGGGGUUUGAUUUAAUAGGGGGAAGAGCUAAACUUUGCCUAAAAGAUACAUAGAGCGACAAGAAGUCUUAGUGGCAAGGAGAUGAUGAUCUUCUGCGUAGACAAAGUUGAUCUCAAGGAUUUGAUGUUCAGUUGGAGAAGCACUUGAACAGGUUCCUUCAAUCAAUACUAUAAAGCUCUGGUACUGUAUAUAGGGUAACUUAUGAGGAAACAGACGUUGCAGUGAAGCUGCUGGAUUGGAGAGAGGACGGGAAUGCCAAUAGUGCAGAAACUGCAGCUGUGAUGUCAUCAUAUUUAGAGAAGGAUCAAUUACACUUAACAUACGUUCACUAAAAACCAGUCCUGUUAAAUUCACUAGGUGGCGCAAAACUGUCUUCUACCAAUGGCUGUUGCAAGUCGUGAUGGAGUUACAAGAUUGGAUCAGGAUCAAGCUGCAGUUGUUUUCUGGAUCUGACUGUUCAACAUUACAGUAAUAUUUCUAUUAUGUUACCUCUUUUUUUUAUGUACUUCAUUAGGUUGAUUUACACAAGAAGGCUUCGGCGGCUGCUGCUGCUGCUUUAGGAAGGUUUAAGGAUGAGAUAGUACAUGUACACACCAAAAUCGUGGACAUAAAAAAUAGGGAUGAAAAACCUGUUACAAUCUCUGUGGAUGAUGUGAUUCGGGCAAACAUAGAUGUGGCAGAUCUUGGGAACUAAAGCCCUCAUUUAAGAAAGACGGGACGACGACUGCUGGUAACUAGGGGAGAGCAUUUGGUUUGGUUAACCGGUAACCGAACUGAAUAACUGAAGAAAUGAAACAACUAGAUGAAGCACUAGAGAAAAUGAACAUGGAUGCAAGUUCUGCAGCAGCUUCAGCGACUGGAACAAGUCAUCCACCGUAAGUAUUUAAUUUGUUUUUGUUUUUUCUGAUUACUUGUAAUCUGGAUACAAAUGAUUAUGUGAAGCUGUGAUAUAUUCUGUCUUUCUGACCCUUCAAACUACUUAUUCCUUGGCCACUGUUAGCACUUGCAGUUUGAAGCUAUAUGAUGCAGUAGAUUAGAUGGGUACUCUGAAAAAUAUAUAAGACUGUAUCAUUAGUUUGGUUAAUCAAUCUACACUUCACUGCUAUGUUUUCUCAGUUUUACACUUUUUAUUUUCUGUAUCUUUUUUUGUUUACUGUAAUUGUUAGAGGUCUUUGGGAGGUAAUUGUGCUGUACAUAUUAAGUUUGAGUUGGCAUUUCAAAAUUAUCUGCCCAGGCUGCAUAAGUUGUACAAUAAUUAUUUGAUCGAGCUUGCAGUUUGAAGCUGCAUGAUAUUGUUUGAACAAAGUAGAGGUACUUCUGGUAUAUGGUUCUCUAACCUUAUGCCUUGGGUCGUUUUAUUGUUUCUGUAUUGGUAGCCAUGUUAAUCCGUCCUGAGAAGGUCAUGUUCUUGUUUUGCUGCUGGAUAGCUUUCUCUCUUUCAAGUUGAGAAUAAGCAUAAUUGAGUAUCUGGCCAUGAGUUUGAACUUGCUUUUCUUUGGGAAUCAUUUGGAUUCAUUUUCUUUCCAUCAGAAAUAGCAUCCUGUUGCUGAGAGGCACUUGCAGUUGUAUAGUUCUGAACUAGUGAUUGAUCAUCGUCCACUUCAAUUCUAGAAAAUUCAGGAUGCUUGAUACUUUUUAAAUUCAGUUGUUAUUAAUUGUACAUGGACAGAAGAGCUUCUCUUUUUUGUUUACUGGAAAUGAUACAGAGUCGUGGAUUCCAUUUGUUUUACGGUUUUUCUAUGGUGUGCCCAUGGGCACACAAUAAGCACUAACUCCUAUGAUUUUGAUGCAUUUUUAUUGGUCAUCUAAUCAUAAAUAAGGAUGGCCCCCCUGCAUUUACACCAAAGUCCACCAACUAAAAUCCACCAAACUCAUCAAAUUUAGUGUAUAUAUAAUGUGUGCCCAUGGGCACACACUAGACAAACCCUGCACAAUAUUGUUGGCUAAGUUCAAUCUUCCCAUCCCUGCAAUUGUUCAGGCCAUUAGUGUUUUAAAAAGACUUGACAUGUUUCUUCGGAUAGUAUCAGUCAGGCACUCAGUCGCAUAACCAUGCACCAUCACUCCAUAAGUUGUAAAUGAUUUAAGUUAAGUUACUGUAUGAUCUGAGCUUGCCAUGUAGUUAUCGGUCCACCACUUAAAUACAUAUAUAUGUUAUUGUAUUCCUUUGUCAUU